UAGCGAGCUUGUAGAUUAAAGAAUUAAACGAACAUACCAGUUGAUCUAGCCAAUAGAUUCGUGAGCUACUGGCGAAGAUGAUUUUGGGUGGGUUGCGCUAAAUAUUAAAAUAUGAAGUGACACGAAAACGCUGGAUUUAACGAUGGGGUGACGAGAAAAAAGAAGAUGAUUUUUCUGACUGUGAAAGGGCCGUGCGAGUGCCGAGGGAAACGUUUUCGCCCAGUGCAUAAACUCACGUUACUGUGGGUUUAGAACUCUGAAAUUAAAAUAGAUCUUGCGUAUUGAGCAAAUCCAUAACAGAGUAUUCAGUAUAAAGCAUUCGAGGCGAUUCUUAUGUUAAAUAGAAUUGAGGAACACAAUAAAAGGGCUUUAUGAAGGCCACAUCUGCUUCUCUCUUUUCAACAGGAAGU